CUGCCAAAGCGUCUCCUCCAGCAGGCAGGCGAGGGCUCUCCUCCACCCCGAGCUUGCGUUUCCUGAGGCUCCAGGCAGUGCUCUGCGCUGGCCUGCUGCCCUGCUGGUGGGUGACCAGAGGUGGGCAUCACGGGAAGAGCCCUCCACGAAGGGGAGGCCCCUGAGGAUCAGGCCAGCAGCUGCAGGUGAGUUGCGCAGGCCGGUGAGCUGUGAGCAGAGCCGUAAGGAAUCUGGACUCACCAGGCCUGGGGAUGGCUGGAAACUGCUCCUGGGAGACCCAUCCCACCAACGGGAACAAGGCAAGUACCGCCAUCAGCUCCCCGACCCGGGUCUGCAGGAUGGUGUGGUGGGAGGGGGCAGACCCCGCCCAGCACCCCCUUCUCACACACACUCUGCCGCCCAGGCCCCAUCCUCUAGCUCGGGACAGACAGGCGGGCAGCAGGGCCCCUCUGGGCUACGUGGCCUGGCACUGGUUACCGGUCACCUCGGAUCCCCAGUGUCUUCGUCACCGGACGCCCUCGAGUCCCAUCCUGUGCAGACCUUGGGGCAUCUGUUACCAACUCCAGAGGCCUUGUCAGCUCUUCCCUGGGGAGAUGGGGCGGUCAGCUAUUUCCCAUGGCCAGGCCCUGCCAGGAGGCCCUGCGAGGCUGGCUCCAAGGGGGCCCUGGUGUCACGAGCCUCCGUGGGGCUCUGGGCCACCCUGCCAGCGUCGCCCAACACCAGGGUCCGUUAGUCCCGGUUUACCCUCUGCCUCCGGGCACUAGCCAUGGCUGAGAGUCUGACGACCCAUCAGGCUGACCCACCCCUUCUGCCCUCCCCCGCUCCUGCCCCCUACUUCUCUGAGGCCUUUGAAAACUCUGGAAUUCCCUCCUGAAUCCCGGGAAAAACCCUCUCAAGUUGCAAGGACCCCUGAGUUUACCAAGAUCAACCUUUGAGGAAAUUUGAGGCUCACGCCAGUGUAGUAGCUUGACUGCGGUGAGUCCGGAGGUCGGGGCAGAGCCAGGACCCCAGCCCCCGGCAUUUCCCCACCAUGCCUGCAGCCCUGAUGGUGACCACUGCAAGAUGGCAGCCACAGGAGACAGAGAAGGAACUGGCUUGGGAGUCCCCAGAAAUCCCCGGAGAAAAGGCAGAGCCCAGGGAGGGCACCAGGCUCCAGAGCAGGCAUUGUACAAGGUGCUAUGUGGCCGGGAUGGCAGCCACGCGUCCAGUGACUCCCCGGCCCUCCCGCUCUGACUCUGAGGGGAGGAUUGCAGACUUCUUCCAGCCUGCGAGAGGCACUGAGGGAUCUGACCUGUCAGAUGCAGCCCCUGCCACCCAGUUCCCUCCAGCGCUAGCGCUGGUCCUCCGUGGACUUGUUUAGACACCGGAUCUUGUAAAUUUCUGAGUCUGCUCCCCAGAUGAGAAGAGGAAAGCUGAGUAAAGAGCGAGCUCAGGGGUUUGAGAGUUGACAGACAGACAGACAGACAGAUGUGGGGUCAAUAAAUAUAUUUAGAGGAUAGGAUGCCGGGUAGUGACCGGGACCCCCAUGCCCUGACCUUCUGGGGUUUCCCCAAAGUUUGCCGGCACCCUCCAGUCCCUGCUUGCAGGGUCCCCUUGACCGGAGCCAGGCCAGAGGUCCCUCCCUUUGUUAUGGGGUGUCAGGCCCAGAGAGCAGUCUUUCGGGACCCAGCUUUCUGCCGGAGCUGGGGCCCAUCUGGAAAGUAACAGAAUAGUCCUGCCUCAAGAACCUUCUGGUUUGUUUUUCAGUUUUGUUUUGGGUUUUGGAGGGAGAGUCAUGAGCAAUGGGUACUGACACCCGGCCUUAGAUUAGGGGGAGGCCAGGUUCGGGCUCUGUGGGAAAGAGUGCUGGGAUGGAUUAGUGAUGUCUGCCGGGGUGUGGGCAGGGCAGUGACAGUGCUCUGGGCAGCCUCCGCCACUGGGGAUGGGAGGUCAAAAUCCACAGGCUGAGCACCGAAUCCAGCUUGUAGAUGUGUUAUGUUUGGCCCACAGCGUGUUUUUUAAAUGUCAACAUUUAAAGAUCAGGAUAGUUUACAUUACCAUCUCGAGUUCUGGCUUCUCCGGGGAGAGGGAAAAGGAUGAAUAAGAGCCACUCAGCCCGCUGGUCCCACUGGCGCCCACCGGCUGGAGCAGGGCACCGCCGACUCGCUCAGGACGGGUGCCCUCCGGUUUGCCACUGCCCCCCCCACACUUGUCAGCUUCUUGCACGUGACCCACGUGCAUGCAUUUAUAUGCCAGCCCAGACCCUGCAGGCAAGACUGUCAUUUAGCCAGAUGGACUCACACGGCCAGACCAAUUGUCAAAAUACACAGCUCUAUGAAUAGCCACUGCCUCAGUGUCUCGCCCUCUAGGGACCCCCUUGGGCCAGAGCCAGAUCCCUCAUGAUCCAGAAACCCAGAGUUUCACCCUGGCCCAGCAGGGAACCAACUCUGAUUCCCCAGGUCUCUCUGAUUCCACUAUAGGUCUGGGUCCACUUUGGUUUUGUUUCAGUAACUUACCAGUGAUUUUGUUUUUUAAAAUAAAUAUUUUCAUGUUUCAGUGUGAAAA